rnacentral:rRNA from 1 species
AAACUAACAAGGAUUCCCCUAGUAGCGGCGAGCGAAGCGGGAAGAGCUCAAAUUUGUAAUCUGGCACCUUCGGUGUCCGAGUUGUAAUCUCGAGAAGUGUUUUCCGCGCCAGACCGCAUAUAAGUCUGUUGGAAUACAGCGUCAUAGUGGUGAGAACCCCGUAUAUGAUGCGGAUGCCUGGUGCUCUGUGAUACACUUUCGAAGAGUCGAGUUGUUUGGGAAUGCAGCUCAAAUUGGGUGGUAAAUUCCAUCUAAAGCUAAAUAUUGGCGAGAGACCGAUAGCGAACAAGUACCGUGAGGGAAAGAUGAAAAGCACUUUGGAAAGAGAGUUAACAGUACGUGAAAUUGUUGGAAGGGAAACGCUUGAAGUCAGACUUGCUAUUUGGAAUUCAGCCGCAAGGUGUAUUUUUCAAUUUGCAGGCCAGCAUCAGUUUUCGGGGGUGGAAAAGGAUUAGGAGAAGGUAGCAGUUUCGGCUGUGUUAUAGCUCUUAAUUGGAUUCAUCCCUGGGGACUGAGGAACGCAGCUUCGGCUUAGGAUGCUGGUGGAAUGGCUUUAAACGAC